UGCCCAGCAACUCCUAUCCCUACCUCCUCGUGGUACUGGCCGGGGUAGGAGUAACAUUGGGGAAGAUCGGGUAACCAACCCCCGGUGGGAACUUUGGUCGUAUGCUGAUAGGGAAGG
rfam:Aedes aegypti strain Liverpool supercont1.5 genomic scaffold, whole genome shotgun sequence.